rnacentral:rRNA from 1 species
GACGAACCGUGCGAACGUUGUUCGGAAUCACUGGGCUUAAAGGGCGCGUAGGCGGCGCGCGGGGUCAGGGGUGAAAUCUUUCGGCUCAACCGGAAAAGUGCCUCUGAUACCGGCGUGCUCGAGGGAGGUAGGGGCAUGUGGAACUUCCGGUGGAGCGGUGAAAUGCGUUGAUAUCGGAAGGAACGCCGGUGGCGAAAGCGACGUGCUGGACCUCUACUGACGCUGAGGCGCGAAAGCCAGGGGAG